CUAUUUCUUUCUGCCUCUCCCUUCCUUUCUGAAAUCAAUUUAAAAAAAAAAAUCAUUCGAUGUAUUUCCUGCCAAUUCAAGUACCUCGAUGGUGAAGUACUCUAGGUUACUGUGUCGUGUACAGCAGCAGUCACGCCCACACGUCCAUGGCUGGCUAUCCUAGAUUUCAGGUGUGAAUAAAGUGCCCACCGGAAACUAGUUCUCUACUGACAGGAAACCUGAGCUCCUCCCAGCCCUACUGCCAGCCAAUUCUGCUGAAGCUCAAAAAAGCAAGGUAGAGAAAGGACUAGUCAGACACCCGGUGAGAUCCCACUGCCUACCCCCUCGAACUGCGUUUCAAACUGGUGGGACCAUCUUGGUUUUUGUGUUCCACUGGUUGCUGCAGCUCCUUCAUUGUACUCCAAAGCUCUCCCACAGCUAUUUUUAUCAGUGAGUGAUGGUUAAUUUAUUCUUUUUGUGGAGGGAUGAAGGCUGGGACCUCCUAGUCCUCCAUCUUGUUGAUGUCACUCACUUUAGAACAUACAUUUUGCCACAAGUGGUCAUCAAAUCAAUGACGCAAACAAUGGCAUUAUUUGAUCAGUCAUAUCACACUUGUGACUCUAUUCCCAAAACCCUGUUUAGAUCCAGGUCCUCUUCCCAAACUCCAUGGCGACUAUUCUCACACUUGCACAGUCUCCUUAAAAUCAGCAUGUCCACAAACAGAAGUCAUGCUCUUCUCCCUCAAAGCUGCUCCUUUCGCGGAAUUCUAGAACGUAGUCCACAGUUUUCCCAUCUACACAGCUGAGCAUAUCGGCGGUCACCAUUGACUCCUCUCUGACUCGAAUGCCCCAAAUCUAAUACAAUAUCAGUCUAACCCAUUUUACCUUAUAGCUGUCUCUUGAUCCCAUCUCCGCUGCCACUUCCCUCAUCCAGACCUCCUUUACUUCUGAAUUGGACCAUAGAAACAGCCUCCUGAUUUGUUCCAUGUCCCCACUCCUGCCUCUCUCCAAGUUAAUCCUCCCUUAGCAGCCUAAGACCUCUUCAAGACCACUUUACAAAUUUCAUCUGAUCACAUCCUUGUCUUGAUUCUUAUCCUUAAGUUCCAAAUUCUUAAUGGCUUACAGGAAACCCCAUGGCCUACCCGGCUACUCCUCUGGCAUCUUUUACUGCCACUGGACUCAUACCUCUCUCCAUGCCAGCCAUUCUGCACCUCUUUCAGUUCUUCAAACAUCCAUACCACUUCCCAUAUCUGGGCCUUUGCACAAGCUGUCUCCCUCCCUCACAUGCCCUCUUUUGCAUUCCUAUGGAUCCUGCAGGGUUCAACUUAAAGAAUGCUUUCCAAGGAACGCUUCCUUGACUUCCUAGAAUAGAUUAGGUUAAUCUGUCAUAUGCUCCCACAACAUUUUGCACUUUUUUCAUUGUUCAAUUUAUUCUUAAGUAUUUGUUUAAUGUUUAUCUGCCCUCCUAGAAUGCAUGUAUCAUAAGGACAUUAAUGCACCCAUAUCAUUCAUAUCUGUAUGCCCAGUGUUUUGCCAAUACCCAACACAUAGUCAGGUCUCAAUAAAUAAUUGCCAACUGAGUGGUUGAAAAACAGUUCUUCCUAGUUAAGGAUUCAGUUUCAAUGCACAGUUAUAAUCUAAACACUAGCAGUCCAUCAUAUUUGUGCUUUUGUUAAGCCUUUUGACUUUUUUUUUCCACAUUACAAAACGUUUUAUGUACAUACUAUACUUCCCUCUUCCAAUGAUGUGUCAUAAAUUGAUGUAUUUUUAUUGGGUGAGGCCCAGGUAAUCUCCGUUUAUAACUCUGACCUUUCUGUGAGCAAACACAAAAAGUGAACUUUGGUUUAUCUCCUACCAUAAUGUAGCUGCUUAUUACUGGCGAGCAGGCUGUAUUCCAUGGCUCAUGUGACCAGUGGGGUCUGACCAGAAAGAAAUGUGCGGCAGAGCAGACCGAGGGACCUAGCUAGAGGCUGUCCAGCCGGAGCUCCUGUCUCCCUAAAAGCCCAGAGUAAAGCAACUGAGCACAAGGAGUAUGGUUCUGAGGUGAGCGAGGUCAUGAAGAAACCACUGUUGGGCUUGACUCUGUGGUUACUGCUCCUCUGUCCAGGGCUGAUGUGUCUCAACAACGAGGUGAUUCAGAAAUGCAACAAUGGCACCUACGAGAUCAGCGUCCUGAUAAUGAAAAACUCAGCCUUCCCAGAGCCCCCGGUAAAGCUGGAAAGUGCAGUGAGACAGGGAGUGAAAAUCGUGAAUCGGCAUCUGAAGGAUUAUGGAAUAAAUGCAACUGUGAACGCUAGCUUUAUCCGUACAGAGGAUGCGUUUUAUAAGUCAAAUGACUGUCGGAGUAGCACCUGUGAAGGCCUUGACCUACUCAGGAGAAUUUUCAAUAAAAAAGAGGUGGGUUGUGUCCUCAUGGGACCCUCGUGUACAUAUUCCACCUUCCAGAUGUACCUUGAUGCAAAUUUUACAUAUCCCAUGAUUUCAGCUGGAAGUUUUGGAUUGUCAUGUGACUUCAAAGAAAAUUUAACCAGGUUGAUGUCUCCAGCUAGGAAGUUGACUCACUUCUUGGUUGACUUUUGGAAGAUUAAUAAUUUGUCAUUUAAAACCUCUCCCUGGACCACUGCAUAUGUUUUCAAGAAUAAUAACGAAUCUGAGGACUGUUUAUGGUACCUCAAUGCUCUAGAGGCUGGAGUUUCUUAUUUUUCUCAGGAACUUAGCUUCAAAGAGGUAUUGAGAGGAAAGGCUGAGUUUCAGAAAAUCUUAAUGGACCAGGAUAGGAAAAGCAAUGUGAUUAUUGUGUGUGGUACACCAGACAUCAUCCCCUCCAUCAAGGGUGACCGGGAAGUGGCUGAAGACACUGUCAUUAUUCUAGUGGAUCUAUUUAAUAACCACUAUUUCAUGGACAAUGUCACAGCCCCUGACCAUAUGAAAAAUGUCCUUGUUUUGACACUGCCUCCUGAAGAGUCCAUCCCAGAUAGUUCUUUUCCCCAGGACUUAUCAUUGGAGUUAAAUGACUUUUCUCUUGCCUAUUUGAAUGGAAUCUUGCUCUUUGGACAUGUGCUAAAGACAUUUCUUGGAAAAGGAAAAGAAGUUGACACCGACGAACUUGCUCAUGCUUUCAGGAACCUCACUUUCGAAGGGUAUAAGGGCCCUGUGACUUUGGACAUCUAUGGGGACAUCGACAAUACUAUGGUGCUUCUGUAUACCUCUGUGGAGACCAACAAAUACAAUGUACUUUUGACCUAUGACACCCACACAAAUGUCACUAACCCAGUGAAUGACAGCCCCGCAUUCAUCUGGAAGAACCGGAAGCUUCCUAAUGAUACUCCAGACCGGGGACCUCAAAUCCUGAUGAUCGCUGUCUUCACUCUCACCGGCACUGUGGUCUUGGUCCUGCUGGCCGCGCUCCUGGUGCUGAGAAAAUACAAAAAAGCGCAUGAACGUCGUCAGAAAAAAUGGUCCCACAUUCCCUGUGAAAAGAUCAUUCCUCUGGAGACCAAUGAGACCAACCAUGUGAGCCUGAAGAUCGAUGAUGACAAGAGACGAGAUACAAUUCAGAGACUGCGACAGUGCAAAUACGACAAAAAGAGAGUGAUUCUAAAGGAUCUCAAGCACAACGAUGGCAAUUUCACAGAGAAGCAGAAGAUAGAACUGAACAAGUUGCUUCAGAUUGACUAUUACAACCUAACCAAAUUCUACGGAACUGUGAAGCUUGAUACCAUGAUCUUCGGGGUGGUCGAAUACUGUGAGCGAGGAUCCCUCCGGGAAGUUUUAAAUGACACAAUUUCCUACCCUGAUGGUACAUUCAUGGAUUGGGAGUUUAAGAUCUCUGUCUUGUAUGACAUUGCUAAGGGGAUGUCAUAUCUGCACUCCAAUAAGACAGAAGUCCAUGGGCGUCUGAAAUCCACCAACUGCGUGGUGGACAGUAGGAUGGUGGUGAAGAUCACCGAUUUUGGCUGCAAUUCCAUUUUACCUCCAAGAAAAGACCUGUGGACAGCCCCAGAGCACCUCCGUCAAGCCAGCAUCUCUCAGAAAGGGGACGUGUACAGCUACGGGAUCAUCGCACAGGAGAUCAUCAUGCGGAGGGAAACCUUCUACACGCAGUGCUGCCGCGACCAGAAUGAGAAGAUUUUCAGAGUGGAGAGUUCCAAUGGAGUGAAGCCCUUCCGCCCAGAUCUGUUCCUGGAAACUGCCGAGGAGAAGGAGCUGGAAGUAUAUCUACUUGUAAAAAACUGCUGGGAGGAAGAUCCAGAAAAGAGACCAGAUUUCAAGAAAAUUGAGAAUACACUGGCCAAGAUAUUUGGCCUUUUUCAUGACCAGAAAAGUGAAAGUUAUAUGGACACCUUGAUCCGACGUCUACAGCUCUACUCUCGAAAUCUGGAACAUCUGGUGGAGGAAAGAACACAGCUGUACAAGGCAGAGAGGGACAGAGCUGACAGACUAAAUUUUAUGUUGCUCCCAAGGCUAGUGGUUAAGUCCCUGAAGGAGAAAGGCAUUGUGGAGCCUGAACUAUAUGAGGAAGUUACCAUCUACUUCAGUGACAUCGUAGGUUUCACCACUAUCUGCAAAUACAGCACCCCCAUGGAAGUGGUGGACAUGCUGAAUGACAUCUAUAAGAGCUUUGACCACAUUCUCGAUCACCAUGACGUGUACAAGGUGGAAACCAUUGGUGAUGCCUACAUGGUAGCUAGCGGCUUGCCUAAGAGAAACGGCAAUCGGCACGCAGUGGACAUUGCCAAGAUGGCCUUGGAUAUUCUCAGCUUCAUGGGGACCUUCGAGCUGGAGCAUCUUCCCGGCCUCCCGAUCUGGAUUCGCAUUGGAGUUCACUCUGGUCCCUGUGCCGCGGGCGUCGUGGGGAUCAAGAUGCCUCGUUAUUGCCUAUUUGGAGACACCGUCAACACAGCCUCUAGGAUGGAAUCCACUGGCCUCCCCUUGAGAAUCCAUGUGAGUGGCUCCACCAUAGCCAUCCUGAAGAGAACCGAGUGCCAGUUCUUGUAUGAAGUGAGAGGAGAAACGUACUUAAAGGUACCCAACUUUUGCCCCCAAUUCCUCCUCCAUACCCAAGAGCCACGGUCCCGUCCAGGAGUAAUUUAACUACAGUCAAUGUCCCUGUCUCCUUGCGUUCUUGCUCUUACUUCAAGAUGCUGUCCUUGCUCUUACUUCAAGAUGCUGCAGCUCUAAGGCCACCUCUCCAGCCAGUUGCUUUAUCAUUCAAAGCUCUGGACAAGAGAUGGCAAGCUGGCCUCCAAAGCCACCAAAUGCCUCCACUUGGCCCUCAGGCUGCUUUCUGAAGGUCAUUACAAUCUUUUCACAAUUGGUCUGCAGCCAACUAUUGCCAGUAAGAUCAUCUGUCCCCAGUAGCCAUAGCGCUUCUAGCCUUUACUCUGUGGUUGCAACUUAAGCCUCCUUUUAUGUAUUAGGGUCCUAACAUCACACUCACUUUUUAAUCCUCCAGAAAUACAUUAAUACAUUUUCUACACCAAGCAUUUCUCCCCAGAUAGAAGCGGUUUAUGGAUUACUACAAUUCAAAAACAUUAAAAAACCCGCUAUUUUUAAAGAUGAGUGAUUUUAAAUAUAUAUAUAUAUAUAUAUAUAUUUAUAUAUAUCCAUCCACUUUCAAAUACCAGCUCUAGCAAAACCAGGAUUUUCAGUAAGUUUCCAUUCAUUUUAUAGCCUCCAGAUGGGCCCAGAAAAAUGUCAGUAAGUAUUUAUUAUGAUGCACAUGUGUUUAUAGUUUACACACUUUAGGUGGGGAAACUGUGGCAAAACGUUUGUGGCAAAUUUCAUGGCAAAAUGAGCCAGAAGAAAAUGUGGAUAAUGAAAACCAGUCAGAUUUGUUGGCAUAACAGAACUUUAGAUGAAUUUUCUUCCUUUUUAAUUUAGAGUUCUUGUGAUGUUGUCAUAGUGAUAUUUUAAAAUCUUUGGGGACUCUGAAGGAAACAUGUCUGGUGAUUGAGAGACUUGUUUUUAUUGAUUUUAGAGAGAGAAAGAGAAAGAGAGAAAUCAAUUUGUUGUUCCACUUAUUUAUACAUUCAUUGGUAGAUUCUUGUAUGUGCUCUGACUGGGUCUUGAACCCACAACCUUGGCGUAUCAGAAUAAUGCUCUAACCAACUGAGCUACCAGCAAGGGCAAGAGACUUGUUUCUAAAAGGUCACUUGGAGCCCUAGCUGGUUUGGCUCAGUGUUUAGAGCGUCAGCCCGUGGACUGAAGGUCAAAGGUUUGAUUCCUAUCAAGGGCAUGUACCUUGGUUGCAGGCUCCAAUCCUGGCCUUAGCCAGGGUUUGUGCAGAAGGCAACCAAUCGAUGUGUCUCUCUCACAUCAAUGUUUCUCUCUCUCUCUCUAGAAAUCAAGGGAAAAAAUAUCCUCGGGUGAGGAUUAACAACAACAAAAUAAAAAUAAUAAGAGGCAUUUGGAAAUAAGCUCUGUCCAUAUGUAAGGCAGAUCAUACCAGGAAGGUACGCUGCACUGAAAUAUAGGCACUGAUGAGGAACUCAGAGGGGAAAUGUUUCUUAGAAACAGACACUUGUCAGAACAGUGGGCUAGAACUGAACUGUCUCAUUGGCCUCCAUGGUUCUCACCUCUCCCGUCUCACUAGGGAAAAGGAACCGAGACCACCUACUGGCUGACUGGGAUGAAGGACCAAGAGUACAACCUACCAGCCCCUCCUACUGUGGAGAAUCAACAGCGCUUGCAGGCUGAGUUUUCAGACAUGAUUGCCAACUCUUUGCAGAAAAGACAGAC